rnacentral:lncRNA from 1 species
AUGUGGGGUGCGGGGAGCCCCACAGCCACCGCUGUGGAUGAAAAGUGCCUGGAGAGACAGAGGCAGAGGCAUGCAGCGGUGCCAGGGGCCAGGAGGGCCUUAACGGGCCUGGGCGUCAGGGCGGCUGCUCUGCCUCUUCCACAUGUUCAUGGAAACGGACUGUUGACCUUGCUGAGCCCCUAUUUUCUGGACAUCAGCUCAUGCAGAGAAGCCGCUGCCAUGGGGCUCAGGUGGUCUCAGUGCCCUGUUUAUCCAGGACAACAGACAAGCCCCCCCCCCUUUGCUGUGUGUCUGCUGAUCAUUGGCCCGGCUUGCCCCCGACCCGCCACCCAGCCCAGCCAGCAAAGAUCCCUCGGAGAGCAGGCCACCUUGGGGACCCAGGCUGGGCCAGGGCUGUGGGGAUGGCCGCUCAGCGCUCAGGUGUCCUCACGAGGCUGCUUGCUCUUCCGAGUGUCCUGCCCUCCCCGGGAUGCGUGCAGAGUCACGGGUGUGAGACUGGGGACCCAGGGACAUAAAAAAGAUGCACAUGGGGGGACCGCAAGGCCUCCAGUGACCCAUAAGAUGCCCACUUCUCCACAGGGAGCCGGGCGCUGCCACAGCAGGUGCACGACCCCGGGCUCUGAAGGCGCUUUCAUCCAGAUGUGUCCCAUCCGUCCUGCCUCUUCCUUGUCCCUGAGGCCUGGCAGGGACUGUCCCAGGAACCCCGGGCCGUGUGGUCAUCUUGCAUGGGGGCCUCUCCUCGGGGAACCGCCCUCCCCAGGAUUGAAGGCAGGAUCAGGGUCCAGGAGGCUCCCCUUCGGGUGGGUGGCUCUGGCUGGGCCGUGUCACCUUGUGCUCAGGACUUGGGGAGAAGCCAGGGGCUUCACUGGUGCCCAGAGUUGCUCAGAACCCCUCCACCCCAUCUCCUCCUCCUCCAGGGGCCCGUGUGCCCUGCAGGAAGUCACUGCCAUGUCUUUCUUCCCAGAAGAAGAACAGCCACAGGAGACGGCCGGUCAGCAUAAUGACAGGUGUGGGGAGGCUGUGGACAGAGAGCCGAUAUGGCGCCAGGAGGUGGGUUUGAGGCAGCUCAUCAGACUCCUGCUGUUUGUUUUCCUCCCUGGAUCCUUGAAUACAGGUUUCCGAGUGUCAGACAUUCUGUUCGCAGGCUCCGGACAUGGUAGGAAGAAGAGGAUUUGGAAGAGGAGACAGUUUUUGUUUUGUCUUUUUGUCUUUUUAGGGCCACUUCCCAUGGCAUAUGGAGGUUCCCAGGCUAGGGGUCAAAUCGGAGCUGUGGAUACCGGCCUCUGCCAGAGCCACAGCAUCGCGGGAUCCGAGUGGCAUGUGCAAGCUAUACCACAGCUCACGGCAAGGCCAGAUCCUUAA